CGGGCAGAGGACUACCACAAAUGCAAAAUCCCCCCUUCUGCAAGAAAGCCUCUUUGCAACUGGGUCAGAAUGGCGGCAGCGGAGCAUCGUCAUUCUUCAGGAUUGCCCCACUGGCCCUACCUCACAGCUGAAACUUUAAAAAACAGGAUGGGCCACCAGCCACCUCCUCCAACUCAACAACGUUCUAUAAUGGAUAACUCCCUGAGCCUCAAGACACCUCCCGAGUGUCCGCUCCAUCCCCUUCCACCCUCAGCGGAUGAUAAUCUCAAAACGCCUCCCGAGUGUCUCCUCACUCCUCUUCCACCCUCAGCUCCACCCUCAGCGGAUGAUAAUUUCAACACGCCUGCCAAGUGUGUGCUCCAUCCCCCUCCACCCUCAGCGGAUGAUAAUCUCAAGACACCUCCCGAGUGCCUCAUCACUCCCCUUCCACCCUCAGCUCCACCCUCAGCUCCACCCUCAGCGGAUGAUAAUCUCAACACGCCUGCCGAGUGUGUGCUCCAUCCCCCUCCACCCUCAGCGGAUGAUAAUCUCAAGACACCUCCCGAGUGUCUCAUCACUCCCCUUCCACCCUCAGCUCCACCCUCAGCUCCACCCUCAGCGGAUGAUAAUCUCAACACACCUGCCAAGUGUGUUCUCUAUCCCCCUCCACCCUCAGCGGAUGAUAAUCUCAAGACACCUCCCGAGUGUCUCAUCACUCCCCUUCCACCCUCACCUCCACCCUCACCUCCACCCUCAGCUCCACCCUCACCUCCACCCUCACCUCCACCCUCAGCUCCACCCUCACCUCCACCCUCAGCUCCACCCUCACUUCCACCCUCACCUCCACCCUCAGCUCCACCCUCAGCUCCACCCUCACCUCCACCCUCAGCUCCACCCUCACCUCCACCCUCACCUCCACCCUCACCUCCACCCUCACCUCCAUCCUCACCUCCACCCUCAGCUCCACCCUCACCUCCACCCUCACCUCCACCCUCACCUCCACCCCUCAGCGGAUGAUAAUCUCAAGACACCUCCCUUAACUACUCAGGAGGCUGAGGCAGAAAAACCACCCAAACCCAGGAGGCCGAGGGCCGAUGACGUGGACCCAUCAUCGCCCGAACCCAAGAGGCGGAGGGCCGAUGACGUGGACCCAUCAUCAUCCACACCCAAGAGGCGGAGGGCCGAUGACAUGGACCCAUCAUCAUGCAAACCCAAGAGGUGGAGGGCCGAUGACGUGGACCCAUCAUCAUCCACACCCAAGAGGCGGAGGGCCGAUGACGUGGACCCAUCAUCACGCAAACCCAAGAGGCGGAGGGCCAAUGACGUGGACCCAUCAUCAUCCACACCCAAGAGGCGGAGGGCCGAUGACGUGGAACCGUCAUCACGCAAACCCAAGAGGCGGAGGUUGAGUUAGCUGAGAACAGGCCAUUGCACUCAAGCCUGAGCAAUAAAAAUAAAAUUGAGUAGAACAAAAUAAAAAAAUCAAAAAACAAAACAAAACCCACACUCCAAAAACAAACU
rnacentral:lncRNA from 1 species